ensembl:lncRNA
GGGAGGUGAUGGGUGGAGGAGCGAUGUGGUUCGGGGGGACUCGGUGGAGCCACUGGCUUACCUGACCAUAAGCCAUCUGCGCCAAUUGAACCAUUUGCGCUAAGUGGGUGACAAAGGCCUGGGAACACCUCUGCGUCUCUGAACAAGGAAAAAGCAGGGAUAACGCAUCAAGGGGAAGCAAACCCAUGGAAGAGAUAGAGAGACAGAGAGAUGGAUGGAGGUGGUGGGGGAGAAGCAGGAGGAGGAGAGACCCAACCAUGCGGUCUAGAUAGGCACCCUGGACCCUGGACAUGAUUCCUCCCCCCCCCCCCCUCCGCCCCAUGAUAACACCUAGACGCGGUGUCUCCCCCCCAGCAGAUCUCCACUAGAUCUGAUGGUUUAACCCAGACUGGUUGUCUUCGCACCCUCACCCUGAUGGCCCCAGCUAUGACACAUGAUGGAUGGUUUCUGAAGAUGGUGAGGCAGUCAUGACUUAGCGAUCACUGGCCUCAAAUAAAACGCUCAUCCCAUUCACUGACCGAUGUGUGUGCAAUGUGCAUGUUACAAUCAAAUAGUUUGAGACAUUUACACACACCACACCAUCCCAAAUAGAUUGACGCAAAUAAAAAAGACCGAAGAAGAAUUCCCCCAUUGUAGUAUGAAUAUGUUUUCGAAUGCCACUGUGCGUCCACUAUUGUAAGCUAUACCAUACUACUCUACAACACGCUAUGCUACCACUAUGCUAUGGUUAAGCUAAUGCUGGCCGUGCUUCACAUUACAUUAAAUCACAC